rnacentral:rRNA from 1 species
AUGAACGCUGGCGGCGUGCCUAAUCCAUGCCAGUCGAGCGAACAGACGAGGAGCUUGCUCCUCUGACGUUAGCGGCGGACGGGUGAGUAACACGUGGAUAACCUACCUAUAAGACUGGGAUAACUUCGGGAAACCGGAGCUAAUACCGGAUAAUAUAUUGAACCGCAUGGUUCAAUAGUGAAAGACGGUUUUGCUGUCACUUAUAGAUGGAUCCGCGCCGCAUUAGCUAGUUGGUAAGGUAACGGCUUACCAAGCCAACGAUGCGUAGCCGACCUGAGAGGGUGAUCGGCCACACUGGAACUGAGACACGGUCCAGACUCCUACGGGAGGCAGCAGUAGGGAAUCUUCCGCAAUGGGCGAAAGCCUGACGGAGCAACGCCGCGUGAGUGAUGAAGGUCUUCGGAUCGUAAAACUCUGUUAUUAGGGAAGAACAAAUGUGUAAGUAACUAUGCACGUCUUGACGGUACCUAAUCAGAAAGCCACGGCUAACUACGUG